rnacentral:rRNA from 1 species
AUUGAACGCUGGCGGCGUGCUUAACACAUGCAAGUCGAACGAAGUGGCGAACGGGUGAGUAACGCGUAAUCAACCUGCCCUUCAGAGGGGGACAACAGUGGGAAACGACUGCAAAUACCGCAUACUGAAGGAGGGGAUUGCGUGUGAUUAGCUAGUUGGAGGGGUAACGGCCCACCAAGGUGAUGAAGAGUAGCCGGUCGGGGAGGAGGAACGGCCACAUUGGUACUGAGACACGGCCCAGACUCCUACGGGAGGCAGCAGUGGGGAAUCUUCCGCAAUGGACGAAAGUCUGACGGAGCAACGCCGCGUGAGUGAUGACGGCCUUCGGGUUGUAAAGCGCUGUUAAUCGGGACGCGGUACCGGAAUAGAAAGCCACGGCUAACUACGUGCCAGCAGCCGCGGUAAUAC